rnacentral:rRNA from 1 species
AUGAGAAUAUUGUGUUGGAACUGUCGCGGGAUUGGCGACCCCGCGACGGUUCGUGAGCUUUGGGAGCUCAUACGGGAAAGUGCGCCGUCGGUGGUGUGUAUUGUGGAGACGCAAUUAACAAAACAGCGAGUGGAGGGCCUGACAUCUUUGUUAGGCUUUGAUGGGGGGUUUGCAGUUGCAAGUUCAGGGAGGAGCGGGGGUCUUGGUGUGUUCUGGAGGAAUGGAGUGGUAUUAACAGUGAAGAACUUUACAAGAUAUCAUAUUGAUGCCUGGGUGACAGAGCAAGGUAAGGAAGAUUGGCGACUCACAUGUUUCUAUGGAGAAGCGAACCGAAGUUUGAGAAAACAAACAUGGGACACCAUGGCUCACUUGAGGGGGGAAUCUACCAUUCCGUGGUUAUGCAUAGGAGACUUUAACGAAGUUUUAAGAAGGGAAGAACAAUUGGGUCCGAAUGAGAGAGAUGUUUCCCAAAUGGGUGGUUUUCGAGAGGCGGUUGACCUAUGUGGGCUUGAUGAUCUGGGCUAUAUUGGCCUCGAUUGGACGUUUGAGAAACGUGUAGCAGGAGGGCAGUUCUGUCGUGUAAGGCUGGACCGUGCUUUGGCAACUACUAGUUGGAGCGAUCUCUUCCCUUUCACUUCGGUUAGACACCUACUAGCUACUAAAUCAGACCACAGUCCAAUCGUUUUAUACUUGAACAUGGAUUCAGCAAACCGAAGAAUGGCAUUGGAUAAACCCUUUAGAUAUGAAGCGAUGUGGGAAACGCAUAAUGAUUUUAUACCAAUGGUGGAAAGGUUGUGGAAGGAUGAUGCACAUAGUGGUUCGGUAAGCGAUAUGAAAGACAAACUGGAAAGGUUGGCGAGUACACGAGCAAGUUGGGGGUCAUGCACUUUUGGACAUGUCUGA